rnacentral:lncRNA from 1 species
GCUUGUAUUUAGUUUCACUUGAAUUUACUAUACAUAUUUGUUUAAAAUUUUAAUAAUCCAAGUCACCCCCUCCUCUUGGCUUAUCUAGUUGGGCAACAAAUGGUAUCAGAGCUUGGUAUUCAGCUAAAAUUUGAUCUAAUGAUCAAGAGUAACGAUCAUAGUAACUCAACUGAGAGGUUCACUUAUCGAAGGACAAUGAACAAAUAGGCCACUACUUUUCAAUGGUUCCAACUAUAUCUAUUGAAAGGCUUGCAUGCACAUUUUCAUUCAAACUCUUGAUUAUGAUAUGUAGAGUAUCAUAAUCAAUGGGCCACACACAUCCAC